rnacentral:rRNA from 1 species
CUACGGGGCGCAGCAGUGGGGAAUCUUGGACAAUGGGCGCAAGCCUGAUCCAGCCAUGCCGCGUGAGUGAUGAAGGCCUUAGGGUCGUAAAGCUCUUUCGCCAGGGAUGAUAAUGACAGUACCUGGUAAAGAAACCCCGGCUAACUCCGUGCCAGCAGCCGCGGUAAUACGGAGGGGGUUAGCGUUGUUCGGAAUUACUGGGCGUAAAGCGCGCGUAGGCGGACCAGAAAGUUGGGGGUGAAAUCCCGGGGCUCAACCCCGGAACGGCCUUCAAAACUCCUGGUCUUGAGUUCGAGAGAGGUGAGUGGAAUUCCGAGUGUAGAGGUGAAAUUCGUAGAUAUUCGGAGGAACACCAGUGGCGAAGGCGACUCACUGGCUCGAUACUGACGCUGAGGUGCGAAAGUGUGGGGAGCAAACAGGAUUAGAUACCCUUGUAGUC